GACGAAGAACGUAGCGAAAUGCGAUACGUAAUGUGAAUUGCAGAAUUCAGUGAAUCAUCGAAUCUUUGAACGCAUAUUGCGCUCUCUGGUAUUCCGGAGAGCAUGCUUGUUUGAGUAUCAGUAAACACCUCAACUUCCAUAUCUUUUUUGAAAUGGGAGUUGGACUUGAGUGAUCCCAACGCUUUUCCUCACCGAAAAGUGGCGGGUUACUUGAAAUGCAGGUGCAGCUGGACUUUUCUCUGAGCUAUAAGCAUAUCUAUUUAGUCUGCCUAAAAAACAGAUUAUUACCUUUGCUGCAGCUAACAUAAAGGAGAUUAGUUCUUGUGCUGACUGAUGCAGGAUUCACAAAGACAGCUUCGGCCGACUUUGUAAACUCGAUCUCAAAUCAAGUAAGACUACCCGCUGAACUUAAGCAUAUCAAUAAGCGGAGGA
rnacentral:misc_RNA from 1 species